AUUGAACGCUGGCGGCAUGCUUUACACAUGCAAGUCGAACGGUAACAGGCCGCAAGGUGCUGACGAGUGGCGAACGGGUGAGUAAUGCAUCGGAACGUGCCCAGUCGUGGGGGAUAACGCAGCGAAAGCUGUGCUAAUACCGCAUACGAUUUAUGGAUGAAAGCGGGGGACCGUAAGGCCUCGCGCGAUUGGAGCGGCCGAUGGGAGAUUAGGGAGUUGGUGGGGUAAAGGCUCACCAAGCCGACGAUCUGUAGCUGGUCUGAGAGGACGACCAGCCACACUGGGACUGAGACACGGCCCAGACUCCUACGGGAGGCAGCAGUGGGGAAUUUUGGACAAUGGGCGCAAGCCUGAUCCAGCAAUGCCGCGUGCAGGAAGAAGGCCUUCGGGCUGUAAACUGCUUUUGUACGGAACGAAACGGUCAUGGUUAAUACCUGGGGCUAAUGACGGUACCGUAAGAAUAAGCACCGGCUAACUACGUGCCAGCAGCCGCCGUAACAC
rnacentral:rRNA from 1 species